UCGAGAAUCAUUCACAAUGGGCGAAAGCCUGAUGGUGUGACGCCGCGUGGAGGAUGAAGGUCUUCGGAUUGUAAACUCCUGUCAAGUGAGAGUAAAGCCGGGCGUUAACUGCGUGCCGGUUUGAGAGUAUCACUAGAGGAAGAGACGGCUAACUCUGUGCCAGCAGCCGCGGUAAUACAGAGGUCUCAAGCGUUGUUCGGAAUCACUGGGCGUAAAGGGUGCGUAGGCUGCAUGGUAAGUCAGAGGUGAAAUCCCGGAGCUCAACUUCGGAAUUGCCUCCGAUACUGCCGUGCUUGAGGACUGGAGAGGAGUCUGGAAUUCACAGUGGAGCAGUGAAAUGCGUAGAUAUUGUGAGGAACACUAGUGGCGAAGGCGAGACUCUGGACAGUUCCUGACGCUG
rnacentral:rRNA from 1 species